rnacentral:lncRNA from 1 species
AGACUCCAGACAGGUAUGCGAGGCGCCUUUGGAAAGCCCCAGGGUGUGGUGGCCAGGGUUCACAUUGGCUAAGGCAUCACGUCCAUCCGCACCAAGCUGCAGAACAUGGAACACGUGAUUGAGGCCCUACCCAGGGCCAAGUUCAAGCUCCCUGGCCACCAGAAGACCCACAUCUCAAGGCGGUGGGACUUUACCAAGUUUAGUGCAGAUGAAUGUGAAGACACGGUGGCUGAGAAGUAGCUCAUCCUGGAUGGCUGUGGCAUCAGAUACAUCCCCAAUCAUAGGCCCCUGGAAUAGUGGCGAGCCCUGCUUACUCA